CGCCGCCCUCUGCCCACGGCAGGCGGGGAGCGGAGCCGGCACGGGGCCGGGGAGGGAGGGGUGCGGGGUUCCGAGCAUCCUCAGAGCUCGCCCUGCGGGGAGAAGGAGCAGUACUGGAUUCUCCGAUGCUGCCGGAAGAAGAGGGGUGGCCGGUGUCGCCCCGCUGUCCGUCUCUCACCGGGCAUUUGGGACGAUCUUGCUCCCCUCCACCCGUAGCACACGAGCCGGAUCAGCCCCCUGCCCAGUGCUCCAGAGCCCCCGUCGGUGGCAGCAGCCCCGGUCUCCUUUCUUGCGGUGCCGCGAGUUGUGUUAUCGGGCACACGGGAGUGCGUUCGAGAGUUGUGAACGUUUUUCUCCCGCCCCUGCUGUCGGACGCUGGCCGAGAGGGGCCGGGACGGGGCGGGAGGGUUCGGCACCAGCUUGGGCACCUCCGCCUUAUCCUGGCUCUCGGCGGCACACGGAGCCGCGGUCGUUCAGCAGUCCGGAGGACUUGAAAGCUAGCGGCGAGGGGGCUGCCCUUUCUACGACUCGGUGCCUUGUCGGGACAGGGGCAGCCCCCUCGCCGCCCCGCCUGGCCGCCCGGGGCUCCGGCAAGCAGCACCUGCCGGAGAGAGACGCGGGCAGGAGCUGCCGGCGUCGCCGCAAAAUGACAGAGCGGCCAAGAGUCUCCCGUUCAGCGCGGCGUGGCCCCGCCACCCUCACCGUGGCCGCACUGCUCUCGCCUCUCCGGGUUUCCAGGCGGCGACAGCACGACGCUGCUCCGGACAGAAGGAGGGAGGGAGGAAGGGCCGGAGGGGCCGAUGACUCCGGCUUUCCUUGCGGGGCAGGCUGCGAGCUCGAUGGGCCGGAGGGAGCGGGCACCUUCCCGGCGCGGCCCCGCUCGGCAGCGCCCGUGCCGCUUCUGCCUGCGGGCGGAGUUUGCCCCGGCUGCUUUAUAGUUAGCAGCCGACGGUACCAGUGACUCAGUUUUCCACUCGGUUAAAUCCCGUGGAAGGUACAGGUGGUUUGGUUCGUUCGCGGGUGUGCGUGCGGCACGGGGCCGUUGCGAAUGAGAAACCGGCGCCAGCUCUUUUGUACGCCGACAUCCGCCAUCUCCGCAAUUAUAUUUGGUGGCACGUCGGGUGUUUGCCCUUUCAUGUGGAUGUUGCUACUAUGUAAAGGAACAGCGGGAUUUCAUGCCUCAUUGCCCUACCGGGACAUCCUUUUCAUGCCCGUAUUUGCAGAGUUACUAAAAGCUCCGCGGCUGCUCACUCACAACAGAAGAGAGCGUCCGCCGGAAUGGCGAAGACAGCUCCAGGGAACUUGGGACGCAUUCCCCACAAUGGCCCCUUUGAUGGGAUCUGAACAAAAAACCAAACCAAACCAAAAUACAAACCUCCCCCUUAAAAAAAAAAAAAAAAAAAAAAAAAAAAAAAAAAAAAAAAAAAAAAAAACAACCAAACCCACGAAAUAAAUCCCCACGAACAAACA
rnacentral:lncRNA from 1 species